rnacentral:rRNA from 1 species
CGUAUCACCCAAGACAACUUUACGGAGUUGACGAUUGACGGAGCGAAGCGACGUCAAAGCGUUCAUUAAAGUCGAGUUGGCUUAGGGAUACGUUCGUUGGGUAGGGGAGCGUUCUGUAAGCCUGUGAAGGUGGCCUGUGAGGGUUGCUGGAGGUAUCAGAAGUGCGAAUGCUGACAUAAGUAACGAUAAAGCGGGUGAAAAGCCCGCUCGCCGGAAGACCAAGGGUUCCUGUCCAACGUUAAUCGGGGCAGGGUGAGUCGACCCCUAAGGCGAGGCCGAAAGGCGUAGUCGAUGGGAAACGGGUUAAUAUUCCCGUACUUGGUGUUACUGCGAAGGGGGGACGGAGAAGGCUAUGUUGGCCGGGCGACGGUUGUCCCGGUUUAAGCGUGUAGGCUGGUUUUCCAGGCAAAUCCGGAAAAUCAAGGCUGAGGCGUGACGACGAGGCACUACGGUGCUGAAGCAACAAAUGCCCUGCUUCCAGGAAAAGCCUCUAAGCAUCAGGUAACACGAAAUCGUACCCCAAACCGACACAGGUGGUCAGGUAGAGAAUACCAAGGCGCUUGAGAGAACUCGGGUGAAGGAACUAGGCAAAAUGGUGCCGUAACUUCGGGAGAAGGCACGCUGACACGUAGGUGAAGUGAUUUACUCAUGGAGCUGAAGUCAGUCGAAGAUACCAGCUGGCUGCAACUGUUUAUUAAAAACACAGCACUGUGCAAACACGAAAGUGGACGUAUACGGUGUGACGCCUGCCCGGUGCCGGAAGGUUAAUUGAUGGGGUCAGCGCAAGCGAAGCUCCUGAUCGAAGCCCCGGUAAACGGCGGCCGUAACUAUAACGGUCCUAAGGUAGCGAAAUUCCUUGUCGGGUAAGUUCCGACCUGCACGAAUGGCGUAAUGAUGGCCAGGCUGUCUCCACCCGAGACUCAGUGAAAUUGAACUCGCUGUGAAGAUGCAGUGUACCCGCGGCAAGACGGAAAGACCCCGUGAACCUUUACUAUAGCUUGACACUGAACAUUGAGCCUUGAUGUGUAGGAUAGGUGGGAGGCUUUGAAGUGUGGACGCCAGUCUGCAUGGAGCCGACCUUGAAAUACCACCCUUUAAUGUUUGAUGUUCUAACGUGGACCCGUGAUCCGGGUUGCGGACAGUGUCUGGUGGGUAGUUUGACUGGGGCGGUCUCCUCCUAAAGAGUAACGGAGGAGCACGAAGGUUGGCUAAUCCUGGUCGGACAUCAGGAGGUUAGUGCAAUGGCAUAAGCCAGCUUGACUGCGAGCGUGACGGCGCGAGCAGGUGCGAAAGCAGGUCAUAGUGAUCCGGUGGUUCUGAAUGGAAGGGCCAUCGCUCAACGGAUAAAAGGUACUCCGGGGAUAACAGGCUGAUACCGCCCAAGAGUUCAUAUCGACGGCGGUGUUUGGCACCUCGAUGUCGGCUCAUCACAUCCUGGGGCUGAAGUAGGUCCCAAGGGUAUGGCUGUUCGCCAUUUAAAGUGGUACGCGAGCUGGGUUUAGAACGUCGUGAGACAGUUCGGUCCCUAUCUGCCGUGGGCGCUGGAGAACUGAGGGGGGCUGCUCCUAGUACGAGAGGACCGGAGUGGACGCAUCACUGGUGUUCGGGUUGUCAUGCCAAUGGCACU